rnacentral:rRNA from 1 species
ACGGGUGAGUAAUGCCUAGGAAUCUGCCUGGUAGUGGGGGACAACGUCUCGAAAGGGACGCUAAUACCGCAUACGUCCUACGGGAGAAAGUGGGGGAUCUUCGGACCUCACGCUAUCAGAUGAGCCUAGGUCGGAUUAGCUAGUUGGUGAGGUAAUGGCUCACCAAGGCGACGAUCCGUAACUGGUCUGAGAGGAUGAUCAGUCACACUGGAACUGAGACACGGUCCAGACUCCUACGGGAGGCAGCAGUGGGGAAUAUUGGACAAUGGGCGAAAGCCUGAUCCAGCCAUGCCGCGUGUGUGAAGAAGGUCUUCGGAUUGUAAAGCACUUUAAGUUGGGAGGAAGGGUUGUAGAUUAAUACUCUGCAAUUUUGACGUUACCGACAGAAUAAGCACCGGCUAACUCUGUGCCAGCAGCCGCGGUAAUACAGAGGGUGCAAGCGUUAAUCGGAAUUACUGGGCGUAAAGCGCGCGUAGGUGGUUUGUUAAGUUGAAUGUGAAAUCCCCGGGCUCAACCUGGGAACUGCAUCCAAAACUGGCAAGCUAGAGUAGGGCAGAGGGUGGUGGAAUUUCCUGUGUAGCGGU